GACAGGUGCUGCAUGGCUGUCGUCAGCUCGUGUUGUGAAAUGUUGGGUUAAGUCCCGCAACGAGCGCAACCCUUAUCCUUUGUUGCCAGCGAUUCGGUCGGGAACUCAAAGGAGACUGCCGGUGAUAAACCGGAGGAAGGUGGGGAUGACGUCAAGUCAUCAUGGCCCUUACGAGUAGGGCUACACACGUGCUACAAUGGCGCAUACAAAGAGAAGCGACCUCGCGAGAGCAAGCGGACCUCACAAAGUGCGUCGUAGUCCGGAUCGGAGUCUGCAACUCGACUCCGUGAAGUCGGAAUCGCUAGUAAUCGUGGAUCAGAAUGCCACGGUGAAUACGUUCCCGGGCCUUGUACACACCGCCCGUCACACCA
rnacentral:rRNA from 1 species